CUUGCGCCCCUUGUCAUUCCGAGGGGGACACCUCGUUUGAGUGUCCAUGAAAUUCUCAAAACCCUUUCUUUUUGGUCUUUCNAUCGAAGAAAGGCUUUUGGACUUGGAUGCUUUUUGACAUGGUUUCACCUUGAAGCGAGCUCCUCCUAAAUGAAUCANUGGGGCUCCUGCUUUGCUGAUCCUUGACNUCGAUAANAUGUUUCUACGUCUUGAGUUUUGGCACUGUCCCUAUGGUGCAUCCUGCUUCAAACCGUCUCAUUGACACUGAUGGUGUUCCGGUCACCGCCGCUUCGUCGGCGGGAGGCUUGACCCACAAAUGAACCUUGACCUCAAAUCGGGUGAGACUACCCGCUGAACUUAAGCAUAUCA
rnacentral:rRNA from 1 species